rnacentral:lncRNA from 10 species
CAAGUUGUAUUGGUUAUCUCAUUUAAUCCUGACCACCCUGAGGUAGGGAGGUGUCCACACUGUAAAAUGAAGAAACAGAGGCUCAGAAAGUUAGUUGCCCUGACAUCACAAAGCUGGUAAGUGGAAGGGCCAGGAUUUAACCCUGGCAGCCCAGAGCGUGAUUUGUAUUCUGCAAUACCAUUUCCUUAAUUUCUGAGCCUUAGUUCCCCUUUUACCUAUAGGUAUAGCACCAAGUCCCAUCACAGAGUAGAAACCUGUUAAACGUUAAUUUUCCUUGCCUUCCUCAGGUUUCCCUAAUGUGGGAAAGUCCUCGCUGAUCAAUGGGCUGGUGGGGCGGAAAGUCGUGAGUGUCUCCAGAACCCCGGGCCAUACCCGAUACUUUCAGACCUACUUUCUUACCCCCUCUGUGAAGCUCUGUGACUGCCCAGGCCUCAUCUUCCCAUCUCUUCUGCCUAGGCAGUUGCAGGUUCUGGCAGGGAUCUACCCUAUCGCCCAGAUCCAGGAGCCCUACACUGCUGUGGGCUACCUGGCCUCCCGAAUUCCCG